AUGGCAGAUGCAGUUGUUGAUUCGGUCACCCUGCUACUCGUGCCUUGCCCGGAUUGCGGCAGGAACGUCGUGACAUAUGUAGUUCGCCGCUGCCAGAACGGCGUCGAGCGUUUCUACAAGUGCCGCAGUCACAUCCCAGCACGUGGUGGAUGCGACUUCUAUAGGUGUCCGCAAGCUUACGCCGAGUCGCUUGCUGCUGCAGACCAAAGGAAACCAAGUCUGCACUGGGUUUGGCAGCUUCUGGUGUUGGUCGAUGCAAUAAACAAUGGACACUGCUGGAAGGAAACCAAGAACAGGAAGUUUGCUCGAAUGAGCAAGCUAAGGGCUGCAAAUGUCCACAAGGCUUCAAGGGUGACGGCGUACACGGCUGCAAAGGCAUCACGAAUUUUCAUGACAAGGAUGAUGAAAGAGUAG
rnacentral:rRNA from 1 species